UUGUCGGAAACUUCGUUAAAGUUUUACAAGAUUCAAAAAUAGUUUCUCAUAUAAUGAACGAUAUAAUAUUUGUGCCAAUUGUUACUCAAUAUUGUGACCUAUUGCCCCUUCCUCCACCAGAUCCGUGUCUCCACCGGUCAAUUUAUCUGAUCUAUCAGUGUUCACCUAUUUGGCCAAACAAGGGUACUUAAAUCAAUGUGACUUUGUCAAGACUAUUAAAAAACUUUCAAAACUUCGCUUAAGACUCAUCAAUUACUAUGAGACCUUGUUCGUGACUCGGAAAUAGUGUGAAAUUCUCAGGAACGUCAGUAAAGUUUACCAGGUUCAACCAUAAUAUUAAAAUAAUAGUUUCUUAUCUCCAAAAAUUAAAAAAGCAACGAACGGUGGACACACACAUGUAUAUGGUGGAAACACGUUCAUUUUAAUUACUGAUUCGCCUUCAUGUACUCAAAUUCAGUGUGACUUUAUCAAAACCUUCUUCAAAAUCUUCUUAAAAUAAACAAUUAACGGUGGAGACACAUAAAUAUGGUGAAAACACGUUAUUUGUUUCAAGCAGGUUUCAAAUUACUAAUUGCUUGUUAUUUUUCGCAGGAAAUCCAGUUGCUCAAAACAUUUAUUUGAAUUUAAUAAACCGUCGUUUGUCACGGUCCGAAAUAUAAAGUGUUGCGGUACUAAUUGUGAUAAUUCUUGAAACCAAGAAAAUCGUAAUUACUCCUUUCUGCCAAAGCGUCAGGUUCCAGCAGUGGUGUAAAAUUCUCGACAUCGAUAAGGAAAACGUAUCACCUAAAACUGUCGUUUGCAGCAAACACUUUUAGCCACCUUCAAGAAAUUUCUCAAAGAGUUUUACCGACCUCUCCACCCCAUUUGUGUCUUCACCAUUGUCUGUGUCUCCACGGAAAGGGGGGUGGGUUAAUUUAUCCUUUAUAUGAACAAGAAGAUAAAGAUUAGAAAUAAGUUUCACUACAGUUUGAAGUAGAAGAACCAGAACCACAUUCAACUGUUUCCAUUUUCCUUAUAUACUCAAGGCACGAAAAU